rnacentral:rRNA from 1 species
ACGCUCGACACCUACGGGAGACAGCAGUGGGGGAUAUUGCACAAUGGAGGAAACUCUGAUGCAGCGACGCCGCGUGAGGGAAGACGGUUUUCGGAUUGUAAACCUCUGUCUUCAGGGACGAAAUGAAUGACGGUACCUGAGGAGGAAGCUCCGGCUAACUACGUGCCAGCAGCCGCGGUAAUCUGAGCGGGCUGGCAAGGC